ACAGGUAAGUUAACAUUAUGUGUGCCAUUUUAAUGUUUGUACAUUUGUCCAUAUGACGUUAUAAGGGGUUUACCACAUCUUUCUCACCCAUGUUAUGGUUCAUAUUCUGUGUUCAGUUUGACAAGGAUCAAGAGACCAAGGACCAGGUGGUGAAGGCUGAACCAACAGACCAGACAGCUCUCCCACAGCCAGCCUCUGAACCUGCUCUACAGUCUGAAUAGCCCGGGUGAAGUUAAACUCUCCUUUGCUGGUGACCCAGAUGGCUGAGAACAUGUUAGGCUGGUACCCUGGAAGCUAAGAGGAAAGUGGCAAAGGAGCUCGCAGGCGAGACUGAUGAUUGCAGAGGAGCUGAAACCCACAGAGAACAUGGGUCUCAAUGAACACAAGAUCAAGGCCUGGUGAGAGCCACUACAGAGGAUCAUAGCCAUCAUUGGAAUUCUGAAAGGACGUGGGUCAACGUAGCCACCAGAUCCAGUCUGUAUCCAGAUCAGAGGGUCACUGCAGUCACAUGGAUCCAGUACGUAUCCAGACCAAAGGAAACAUAUGAUUCUUCUGCACAAUCUGACUUUGCUGGAGCCUGGAGUUGAACUGCUGGUUUCAUCUGGUCAGAGGAGAACUGGCCCCCCAAAUGAGCCUGGUUGUUCCCAAGGUUUUUUUCUCCAUUCUGUCACUGAUGGAGUUUCGGUUACUUGCCGCUGUUGCCUCUGGCUUGCUUAGCUGGGGUGACUUCAUCUACAGCGAUAUCGUUGACUUGAUUGCAAAUAAAUGCACAGACACUAUUUAAACUGAACAGAGAUGACAUCACUGAAUUCAAUGAUGAACUGCCUUUAAACCCCUUUGCGUGCAAACAUCGCUGACGGCCCCAGUUUAUUAUUGUUUCACUUUCACAGCACAUUAAACAUCACUGUCUUACUUCAUCUGGACAAACUGUGCAUCAAUGGAAAGUUUAAAGACUCAAGCUUCGAUAUUUGACCAAUAUUUUGAUAAAACAUUGUUGCAGUGACAGAUAUUUAGUGAUUUAUGUCAGGAGUGCAAAAUAAUAAAUCCGUAUUAUGCCACAUUUUGAAUAGAAAUUCACAACUCACUCAUAUUCAGUCACGCCAAGAGCGGUUUAUUUGUGUUCACAUAGACUCACUGAACAGCGUCAAUAAGGAUUUACAGACCAAAGAUGCAUAUCUGCGGAGAUAUAUGGAUAUAUUUACUGAUGUUUACUUCAUAUUUCUUCAGACAGAAUCGUCAUUUCUAUUCAUUUUCCACGGAUUU